rnacentral:rRNA from 1 species
UCGAGGAUCUUCGGCAAUGGGCGCAAGCCUGACCGAGCGACGCCGCGUGCGCGAUGAAGGCCUUCGGGUUGUAAAGCGCUGUCGUGGGGGAGGAAGACCCGCAAGGGUUUGACCUAUCCCAGGAGGAAGCACGGGCUAAGUUCGUGCCAGCAGCCGCGGUAAGACGAACCGUGCGAACGUUGUUCGGAAUCACUGGGCUUAAAGGGCGCGUAGGCGGGCGAGCAAGUUCGGGGUGAAAUCUUUCGGCUCAACCGGAAAAGGGCCUCGGAGACUGCUCGUCUGGAGGGAGGUAGGGGCAGGUGGAACUGCUGGUGGAGCGGUGAAAUGCGUUGAUAUCAGCAGGAACGCCGGUGGCGAAAGCGACCUGCUGGACCUCUUCUGACGCUGAGGCGCGAAAGCUAGGGGAGCAAACGG